UGAGUAGGCGGUUGUAUAUGUCAGGUGUAAAAGGCUAUGGCUUAACCAUGGUUAGCACUUGAAACUGUACAACUUGAGUGCAGGAGAGGUAAGUGGAAUUCCUAGUGUAGCGGUGAAAUGCGUAGAUAUUAGGAGGAACACCAGUGGCGAAGGCGACUUACUGGACUGUAACUGACGCUGAGUCACGAAAGCGUGGGUAGCAAACA
rnacentral:rRNA from 1 species